rnacentral:rRNA from 1 species
ACGAACGCUGGCGGCGUGCCUAAUACAUGCAAGUAGAACGCUGAAGAGAGGAGCUUGCUCUUCUUGGAUGAGUUGCGAACGGGUGAGUAACGCGUAGGUAACCUGCCUUGUAGCGGGGGAUAACUAUUGGAAACGAUAGCUAAUACCGCAUAACAAUGGAUGACACAUGUCAUUUAUUUGAAAGGGGCAAUUGCUCCACUACAAGAUGGACCUGCGUUGUAUUAGCUAGUAGGUGAGGUAACGGCUCACCUAGGCGACGAUACAUAGCCGACCUGAGAGGGUGAUCGGCCACACUGGGACUGAGACACGGCCCAGACUCCUACGGGAGGCAGCAGUAGGGAAUCUUCGGCAAUGGGGGCAACCCUGACCGAGCAACGCCGCGUGAGUGAAGAAGGUUUUCGGAUCGUAAAGCUCUGUUGUAAGUCAAGAACGAGUGUGAGAGUGGAAAGUUCACACUGUGACGGUAGCUUACCAGAAAGGGACGGCUAACUACGUGCCAGCAGCCGCGGUAAUACGUAGGUCCCGAGCGUUGUCCGGAUUUAUUGGGCGUAAAGCGAGCGCAGGCGGUUUGAUAAGUCUGAAGUUAAAGGCUGUGGCUCAACCAUAGUUCGCUUUGGAAACUGUCAAACUUGAGUGCAGAAGGGGAGAGUGGAAUUCCAUGUGUAGCGGUGAAAUGCGUAGAUAUAUGGAGGAACACCGGUGGCGAAAGCGGCUCUCUGGUCUGUAACUGACGCUGAGGCUCGAAAGCGUGGGGAGCGAACAGGAUUAGAUACCCUGGUAGUCCACGCCGUAAACGAUGUGUGCUAGGUGUUGGAUCCUUUCCGGGAUUCAGUGCCGCAGCUAACGCAUUAAGCACUCCGCCUGGGGAGUACGACCGCAAGGUUGAAACUCAAAGGAAUUGACGGGGGCCCGCACAAGCGGUGGAGCAUGUGGUUUAAUUCGAAGCAACGCGAAGAACCUUACCAGGUCUUGACAUCCCGAUGCUAUUUCUAGAGAUAGAAAGUUACUUCGGUACAUCGGUGACAGGUGGUGCAUGGUUGUCGUCAGCUCGUGUCGUGAGAUGUUGGGUUAAGUCCCGCAACGAGCGCAACCCCUAUUGUUAGUUGCCAUCAUUCAGUUGGGCACUCUAGCGAGACUGCCGGUAAUAAACCGGAGGAAGGUGGGGAUGACGUCAAAUCAUCAUGCCCCUUAUGACCUGGGCUACACACGUGCUACAAUGGUUGGUACAACGAGUUGCGAGUCGGUGACGGCAAGCUAAUCUCUUAAAGCCAAUCUCAGUUCGGAUUGUAGGCUGCAACUCGCCUACAUGAAGUCGGAAUCGCUAGUAAUCGCGGAUCAGCACGCCGCGGUGAAUACGUUCCCGGGCCUUGUACACACCGCCCGUCACACCACGAGAGUUUGUAACACCCGAAGUCGGUGAGGUAACCUUUUGGAGCCAGCCGCCUAAGGUGGGAUAGAUGAUUGGGGUG